CCUGGUUAUCAAAAACAUGUCCUUUUGAUUAUAAUUUAAGGUCUGACCUGCCCGCUGAGAACUUGAAUGGCCGCGGUAUUUUGACCGUGCAAAGGUAGCAUAAUAAUUAGUUUUUUAAUUGAAAGCUGGAAUGAAUGGUUGGAUAAGAAAAUAUCUGUCUCUCUAAAAAUUUUUUAGAAUUUUAUUUUUAAGUUAGAAAGCUUAAAUUUAAUUAAAAGACGAGAAGACCCUCUAGAGUUUUAUAAAAUUUUAUUUUUUUUCUUUUUGGAAUUUUUAGGUUAGAUUUAAAAUUUUAUUUGGUUGGGGUGAUCGAAAAAUUUAAUUAACUUUUUUUAUAUAUUUACAUAAAUAAGUGUUUGCUUGAUCCAAUUUUUUUGAUUAUAAGAAUAAAUUACCUUAGGGAUAACAGCGUAA
rnacentral:rRNA from 1 species